rnacentral:misc_RNA from 1 species
AAGCAAGUGCCUUGAUAGCAAUUCUUGGUGAAAUUCUUGGAUUCUUUGCUAAGUCCUUGCAUGCUUCAAGGCUUAGUUUCUCAUAGUUGAGACAUCUACAUAAUCUUGAUCUUUCCUCUAAUGAAAGGACUGGAUGAGACUCAAGAUAGAUAUCAAUGGCUCUGUAGACUCCAUCAAAAGAAUCCCUUGCAUAAUCUGGUAGACUCUCAGCAACAGCAAGAAACUUUGAUAUUUUAAGAG